UACGAAGGGGGCUAGCGUUGUUCGGAAUUACUGGGCGUAAAGCGCACGUAGGCGGAUAUUUAAGUCAGGGGUGAAAUCCCAGAGCUCAACUCUGGAACUGCCUUUGAUACUGGGUAUCUCGAGUAUGGAAGAGGUGAGUGGAAUUCCGAGUGUAGAGGUGAAAUUCGUAGAUAUUCGGAGGAACACCAGUGGCGAAGGCGGCUCACUGGGCUCUUGCUGACACUGCAGCGCGACAGCGUGGGGAGCAAACAGG
rnacentral:rRNA from 1 species